ACUUCCGUCAUCUGCAGCAAGAGGGCUUCGAUGUUACUUACCUUCCCGUUGAACCCGACGGGCUUAUUAACCUAGACAAGCUCAGGGCGGCGAUUCGGCCCGACACAGGCCUGGUUUCGGUCAUGAUGGUGAAUAAUGAGAUUGGGGUUAUUCAACCCGUUGAGGAAAUCGGAAAAAUUUGCAAAGAAUUCAAUGUGCCUUUCCAUACCGAUGCGGCCCAAGCUUUAGGGAAGAUUCCAAUCGAGAUUGAUAGAGCGGUGGGGCUUACUGUGCACCAAGUCGAGAAAUUGAGGGAAAUGAGCCCCCUUUAUGAGAUGGUUAAGGAGGGUAUUGACAUUAAGAGUAUCGAAUGGACACAACACUGAAUGGUUGCAUUCUUUGGGCAUUUUCUGCUACUGACAAUGAUUAACCAGAGAUGAACACGCUAGGUGAGGUUGCAGAUCAGGCAUAGAGACUGCAAGCAAUCAAGGUUUUGUCCAAGAAUGCGCCCAUUACAUGCUUCUUUAUGUUUUGUUCUGCAGGAUAAAUAUUGCAAGUGAAUUGGUAUUUAUAUAUCAUACAUUGGCAGUCCCAUAAUUCAGCUGUGUUGAUAUUGAUUGAUGUUUUAAGAUUUUGGGUGUGCAGAUUUU